CGAAAUGCGUUGAGGCGCAGCAGUUGACUGGACAUCUAGGGGUAAAGUACUGUUUCGGUGCGGGCCGAGAUAGCGGUACCAAAUCGAGACAAACUCUAAAUACUAGAUAUGACCUCAAAAUUAGAGGGGUCAAGGUUGGCCAGUGAGACGAUGGGGGAUAAGCUUCAUCGUCGAGGGAAAUAGCCUAGAUCACCAGCUAAGGCCUCUAAAGCUUCAUCGUCGGUGGAAACUUACUAAGAGUUCACCCAUCUUGAUAGUAGAGUGUAUGCCUAACUAUGAAGCUUUCAUAUUUUCCAUUACCAUUGCGCUCAAAAUUAAUGCGUUGGUAAUAUAAGAGGUAG
rnacentral:ncRNA from 2 species